rnacentral:rRNA from 1 species
GACGAACGCUGGCGGCGUGCCUAACACAUGCAAGUCGAGCGAUGAAGUUUCCUUCGGGAAACGGAUUAGCGGCGGACGGGUGAGUAACACGUGAGCAACCUGCCUCAAAGAGGGGGAUAGCCUUCCGAAAGGGAGAUUAAUACCGCAUAAUAUCAGAAUUUCACAUGAUUUUCUGAUUAAAGGAGUAAUCCGCUUUGAGAUGGGCUCGCGGCGCAUUAGCUAGUUGGUGAGGUAACGGCUCACCAAGGCGACGAUGCGUAGCCGACCUGAGAGGGUGAUCGGCCACAUUGGGACUGAGACACGGCCCAGACUCCGUACGGGAGGCAGCAGUGGGGAAUAUUGCGCAAUGGACGAAAGUCUGACGCAGCAACGCCGCGUGGGUGAUGAAGGUCUUCGGAUUGUAAAGCCCUGUCUUCGAGGACGAUAAUGACGGUACUCGAGGAGGAAGCCACGGCUAACUACGUG